AAUGCAAAACUAAAUCAGAAAUGAGUCUGAGAUCAGAGAUAAAGAAUCGGUUGUAUAACCGGGGUUGCUCGAAUUCAGGAAAAAAUCCAUUAAACAGAGUGGGAAGUUUGCGAUCUUCACUUAAAAAAAACUUGUGAUAUGUUCGGUUGGAUAGAAGUCCUGGAAUGUUCAGACUAAAGCCAGGCUUGGAACAGACUGGAUAAGCUCCGGAGGGGAUGGAGGGAAUAACCAGCAAAAAAAAAAAACUAACCCAGCAGACCUGUCACAAGGGCAUGUGAAGAGAAUGAAUGGGAAGCAGUGUGAUAGACUGAAAAAAGGAGGAGCCUUUAUCCAGAAACACCAAGGCUGAGCGGGUGACAUGCGAGAACGCUACAAAAUUAUGAAGCAUGUUGGCAGGACAAAAACAGUCCCUUCAUCUGUAAGGAAUCACAAUGGACAAGGUCCGGCUAAAGGAAACGGUUGUUUCUUCAAGUGAGAAUUGGGCGAAUGCCACACCCAUCCACCAUGGAAAACAUGUGCCAACAGUAGGAUCAUCUUCAGACACGAAGACGCACCUAAAUGCCUCCGCAUGAACGAUCGUAGGACUUACGGACCUUGUUACUGGGAUGGAAAAACCAGCCUUCACCCAGUGUAACUUUUCUUUGGAAUGACUGAAGAUAUAAUAAGUGUGCUCAAUCAGUCGGAUUUGCUCCGGAAAACUGGGAGAUGUCUUCCGAUCACACGGAAAUAGCCUUUUGUCUAACAUCGGGUGGCUAUUUUCAGGACAGUCGGGAGAAACAAAGCAAUGAAAUGAUGGAUCUUCUCGAAAGGCAUCCGUGGGAACAAAAAAGCACGAAAAAGGAUGAAAGUCAGGAUGCAAUAAGCUUUAUUUUGACAGAGGCUGAAGCAGACCUGGUAAACGGGAACACAAUGACGGGAGAAAAAAAUCCCCUGGAAACAAAUGAAACCGUGGCCAUGGAAAUGCUCACAAUGUGUUCUACUUCCACCCUUUGUAGCUCUCACUUACAAUUUGAAUAAAGAAAGUAAAUUUC